UGACGGUUGGACUUCGCGCAGUGGAGAUAGUUAUGCGUGUCUCGUACGUGCCAUGUGUUGGAUGUGAAUUUCACUGCCCGCAACUACACUUUUGCCUACCAGAGUGUACCCCAGGGACACACCACUAAUAAUUUGCGUGUUUUUCUGGAAAGCGUCUGUGCGGAAUGGGACCUUCCAGAAGACCUGCCGCUUUUUGUGCUCAUGCAUAAUGCACGAAACUUCAUCGCAGUGGUCGCGCAGUGCAAGUUGUGGACCGGGAACCGUUGCUUUGCCCACAUACUGCAGCCCUACAUUGAAGAUGCUACAAACGGCACACCUGGAUUUAAUGAAAUUUGCGUCCGAGCAAGAAAAUACAAACAAACAUGGAAUGUGCACCGCUGGAACUAAUCCAAGACGUUCCCACCAGAUGGAACAGCGAGUACAUGAUGAUCAGCUGUGAUGAUGAUUUCCCGUCUCUUAGAGUUGUGUUCGAGAAUUUCGCUGGACCUUUCAGAAAAUGACAACAUCGACAACUUCAGCAGCAAUGAAUGGCGCCAAAUGUCAUCAGUGACUGACAUGCUAAAGUGCUUCGAUGAGGGAACUACACAAGCCUGCACUGAAAGCAGUCCUACUCUCUCACUUGUUGUUCCUCUGGUUCACUGCAUGUCCUCACUGCUAUCAAAAAAGCCCAAGAAGGUGGCACAGUGUCAUUUGCUUCAAACCUUCUUCAUAGCAUGAAAACAAGGUUUAUAGACCUAAAAAUGAAUUACACUUUUGCACUUGCAACAUUGACAGACUCAAUAUUCAAAAAUGUCUGCUGUAUAACUCAGACAGAGAAACAGUGGGCUUGGAAACUCUUGGAAGUAGCAGUAGAGAAGCAUGCUUCAACUGGCUUUCACUGUGAUACAACAGAAUCAUUUGAGGAACUUGCAUCAGUGCCCUCUACAUCAUCUGCCGUGUGGAGUGUGUUUAGUGAAUUGGCAUCUGCCUCAGGUGUUUCCGCUCAGACAACCCAAAGGCUACCAACACUGUAAGUGGAGGAGUACCUUCGUUGUCCCGUCUCGCCAUGCUCGGAAAACCCACUACUCUGGUGGCAGUCUCACGGAAAAGCAAUAUUUCCAGCAGUGGUUAAAGUAGCGCAGCUAUACUUGUCCAUUUCUGCAACUCAGGUACCAAGUGAAAGAUUGUUUUCUAGUUGUGGCCUUACUGUGUUCACAAGAAGGCAAUUUUUUUUGUCUACACACGUUGCACAGGUGGUGUUCCUGCAUGAAAACCUGAAGUAAUAAAGCUUAUGCCUAACCAGUU